rnacentral:ncRNA from 1 species
AGAAUGCGCGCCGUGUCAGGUGCUGCGCAAGGUUCUUCCAAGCGCAGUUAAACGGGAAAGCGGUGCGUCUCCACGAGACCAAUCCGCUGCUGCCCCCGCAACGGUAACAAGUGCGGGCGUACCACAAGGCCACUGGGUUCAAACCUGGGAAGGCGGUACGUCAAGACUUGCGAGCCCGGAUACCGGCCUGAGACAAAUCACGGAA